rnacentral:rRNA from 1 species
GACCGCGUAUGAAAGUACGUUUUCACCCUCGGGUGACAGGGAGACAGGUGGUGCAUGGUUGUCGUCAGCUCGUGUCGUGAGAUGUUGGGUUAAGUCCCGCAACGAGCGCAACCCCUACGUUUAGUUGCUAACAGGUGAAGCUGAGCACUCUAGACGAACUGCCGUUGACAAAACGGAGGAAGGUGGGAUGACGUCAAAUCAUCAUGCCCCUUAUGUUCUGGGCUACACACGUGCUACAAUGGCCGGUACAGACGGAGGCGAAGCCGCGAGGCGGAGCAAAUCCGAAAAAGCCGGUCUCAGUUCGGAUUGCAGGCUGCAAUUCGCCUGCAUGAAGUCGGAAUCGCUAGUAAUCGCAGGUCAGCAUACUGCGGUGAAUACGUUCCCGGGCCUU